rnacentral:rRNA from 1 species
GUGGGGAAUAUUGGACAAUGGGCGCAAGCCUGAUCCAGCCAUGCCGCGUGAGUGAUGAAGGCCUUAGGGUUGUAAAGCUCUUUUGUCCGGGAAGAUAAUGACUGUACCGGAAGAAUAAGCCCCGGCUAACUUCGUGCCAGCAGCCGCGGUAAUACGAAGGGGGCUAGCGUUGUUCGGAAUCACUGGGCGUAAAGCGCACGUAGGCGGACCAUUAAGUCAGGGGUGAAAGCCUGGAGCUCAACUCCAGAACUGCCUUUGAUACUGAUGGUCUCGAGUAUGGAAGAGGUUGGUGGAACUGCGAGUGUAGAGGUGAAAUUCGUAGAUAUUCGCAAGAACACCGGUGGCGAAGGCGGCCAACUGGUCCAUUACUGACGCUGAGGUGCGAAAGCGUGGGGAGCAAACAGGAUUAGAAACCCCUGUAGUCC